rnacentral:rRNA from 1 species
AACGCGAAGAACCUUACCAAGGUUUGACAGCCCGGAUGGCCAGAGAUGGGGCGUUGGACUGGGUGACAGGUGGUGCAUGGCUGGAGCGUGGUGAGAUGUUGGGUUAAGCCGCAACGAGCGCAACCCUUGUCACGUUGCCAGCAACGCUGGGGUGGUUGGGGACAUGGGAGACUGCCGGGGAACGGAGGAAGGUGGGGAUGACGAAGAAUGCCCCUUAUGUAGGGCUACACAUGCUACAAUGGCAUACAGAGGGCUGCGAGACCGUGAGGUGGAGCGAACCUUAAAGUGAGAGUGGAGGGGUGCAACGACCCCGUGAAGUUGGAGGCUAGUAAGCAGAAGCAGUGCUGCGGUGAAUACGUCCGGGUUGUACAC